GAUGAACGCUGGCGGCGUGCCUAAUACAUGCAAGUCGAGCGAACAGACGAGGAGCUUGCUCCUCUGACGUUAGCGGCGGACGGGUGAGUAACACGUGGAUAACCUACCUAUAAGACUGGGGUAACUUCGGGAAACCGGAGCUAAUACCGGAUAACAUGUUGAACCGCAUGGUUCAACAGUGAAAGACGGUCUUGCUGUCACUUAUAGAUGGAUCCGCGCCGCAUUAGCUAGUUGGUAAGGUAACGGCUUACCAAGGCAACGAUGCGUAGCCGACCUGAGAGGGUGAUCGGCCACACUGGAACUGAGACACGGUCCAGACUCCUACGGGAGGCAGCAGUAGGGAAUCUUCCGCAAUGGGCGAAAGCCUGACGGAGCAACGCCGCGUGAGCGAAGAAGGUCUUCGGAUCGUAAAACUCUGUUAUUAGGGAAGAACAAAUGUGUAAGUAACUAUGCACGUCUUGACGGUACCUAAUCAGAAAGCCACGGCUAACUACGUG
rnacentral:rRNA from 1 species